rnacentral:rRNA from 1 species
CUACGGGCGGCUGCAGUGGGGAAUCUUCCACAAUGGGCGAAAGCCUGAUGGAGCAACGCCGCGUGAGUGAAGAAGGUUUUCGGAUCGUAAAACUCUGUUGUAAGGGAAGAACAAGUACAGUAGUAACUGGCUGUACCUUGACGGUACCUUAUUAGAAAGCCACGGCUAACUACGUGCCAGCAGCCGCGGCAAUACGUAGGCGGCAAGCGUUGUCCGGAAUUAUUGGGCGUAAAGCGCGCGCAGGCGGUCCUUUAAGUCUGAUGUGAAAGCCCACGGCUCAACCGUGGAGGGUCAUUGGAAACUGGGGGACUUGAGUGCAGAAGAGGAAAGUGGAAUUCCAAGUGUAGCGGUGAAAUGCGUAGAGAUUUGGAGGAACACCAGUGGCGAAGGCGACUUUCUGGUCUGUAACUGACGCUGAGGCGCGAAAGCGUGGGGAGCAAACAGGAUUAGAUACCCUGGUAGUC